UCCAUUGGAGCAGCCCUAAUCCCGUUCCUACUUGCCUGCAAGCAGGAGGGGGUGGGGAUCCCUCAGCUGGGAAGGGAGGCUUCCCGUUGCCUACCUGAGAGAUCCCUGCCCCGAUUCCUCUUGCAUGCAAGUAGGAGUUGGGAUCAGGGUUGCUCCGAUAGG